CACUUCUGUCCUGACUUCACUGGAAAACUGUAGUCGACUAUAGAGGAACUCGUCUCUGACACAGACGUACAUCAGUCACAGAUGGUUCGUCUUCGUGACAGACACGGACACUGAGACAGUCAAGAUGAAGUUGCUGCUCGUUGUUGCUGCUGUUCUGGCUGUAUCCAGCUGUGCCAGCAUCUCUCUGGAAGAUCUGGAGUUUCAUGCCUGGAAACUCAAGUUUGAUAAGUCAUAUGAUUCUGAAUCAGAUGAGGCUCAAAGGAAGCAGAUCUGGCUCAACAACCGCAAACAUGU